GUAGUCCACGCCCUAAACGAUGUCAACUAGUUGUCGGGUCUUAACGGACUUGGUAACGCAGCCAACGCGUGAAGUUGACCGCCUGGGGAGUACGGUCGCAAGAUUAAAACCCAAAGGAAUUGACGGGGACCCGCACAAGCGGUGGAUUAUGUGGAUUAAUUCGAUGCAACGCGAAAAACCUUACCAGCCCUUGACAUGCCCGGCUACUUGCAGAGAUGCAAGGUUCCCUUCGGGGACCGGGACACAGGUGCUGCAUGGCUGUCGUCAGCUCGUGUCGUGAGAUGUUGGGUUAAGUCCCGCAACGAGCGCAACCCUCGCCCUUAGUUGCCAGCAUUCAGUUGGGCACUCUAAGGGGACUGCCGGUGAUAAGCCGAGAGGAAGGUGGGGAUGACGUCAAGUCCUCAUGGCCCUUACGGGCUGGGCUACACACGUGCUACAAUGGUGGUGACAGUGGGCAGCGAGCACGCGAGUGUGAGCUAAUCUCCAAAAGCCAUCUCAGUUCGGAUUGCACUCUGCAACUCGAGUGCAUGAAGUUGGAAUCGCUAGUAAUCGCGGAUCAGCAUGCCGCGGUGAAUA
rnacentral:rRNA from 1 species